rnacentral:rRNA from 1 species
GGGGGGGGGGGGGGGGGGGCCGAGGGGAGGCGGGGCGGGGGGGGGGACGGGAAGGUUGCUUCUCUGAUGUUAGCGGCGGACGGGGGAGUAACACGUGGAUAACCUACCUAUAAGACUGGGAUAACUUCGGGAAACCGGAGCUAAUACCGGAUAAUAUUUUGAACCGCAUGGUUCAAAAGUGAAAGACGGUCUUGCUGUCACUUAUAUAUGGAUCCGCGCUGCAUUAGCUAGUUGGUAAGGUAACGGCUUACCAAGGCAACGAUGCAUAGCCGACCUGAGAGGGUGAUCGGCCACACUGGAACUGAGACACGGUCCAGACUCCUACGGGAGGCAGCAGUAGGGAAUCUUCCGCAAUGGGCGAAAGCCUGACGGAGCAACGCCGCGUGAGUGAUGAAGGUCUUCGGAUCGUAAAACUCUGUUAUUAGGGAAGAACAUAUGUGUAAGUAACUGUGCACAUCUUGACGGUACCUAAUCAGAAAGCCACGGCUAACUACGUG